AUGACAUAUUUAAAAAAAAAAUUCUUCAACGAAUCAUUAGGAAAUAAACCAAAUUGACAAAUUUUUCAUUAUAAACGCUUUCUUUGUAAAAAAAAAAGUAAAAUCACAAAAAUACUGAACUCCGAGGAAAAUUCAAAAAGGAAAGGCCAUAAUUAAAUGGCAAAAUCAAAAGCUCAAUUACAUCAAACGAAUGGAUAACAACUGUCAUAUUCCUGAUUUGGUACGGACAUUUUCUUAUGUAUGAAAUGGUGAGUUAAACCUGGUUAAAUAGCUAGCUAAACCUCUCACUUGUAUGACAGUCGCAUAAAGUUACAUUAUAUUGACAACGAUGUGUGAAUAAAACAAACAGACAUAAUAGGUAAAAAUUUCAAUGAUAGGGAUACAGAUGUCUUUAUUUUGUUGUCAUCUCAGUCACGUUAAAACAAACAGAUACAUUAACAAACAUUUUAACCAUUGCAAAAUAACAAAAUGAUUGGAUGUAUAAGUACAGAGUCAUGUUAUAUGUAAGAAAGAAACACAUGCAAAAAGGAAUGUAGACCAAGCAUAUUAGCAAAAUCGAAAGAAAACAAAACAAAAAUUAUCACAGAACAAUAACGGGAUGUAUAAGUACAGGGCCACGUCAAAUUGUUACCACCAAAAACAGACUAAACAGUAAAGGUAAUAUCCAUAAAGACCAAUAAAAGAAUACAAUAAAUGAAUAAAAAGUUGGAAAAGAUUUUGUAGUAAUCCACACGAGGAAAACUUUCCAGAGAUAUAAAAGCAAAAAUACAACAAAAUAAUCGGAAGAUAUAACAGAUAUUCAAUUUUGAAUUUGAAUACAGCAUUAACGACGGACCAUAGAUUUAUACUACGACAUCUACCGUAAUGAGGAUAUCAGAUGAAUACCUAUAGAUUAUAUACAUUUCGUUUUUGAUGCGUUUUGUUAUUUGAUUUUGCCAUGUGAUUAUGGACUUUCCGAAUUGAUUUUCCUCUAAAUUCAGUAUUUUUGUGAUUUUACUUUUUAAGUAUAUCAAAUCUUAUACGACGAAUAAAAGACCUGC
rnacentral:lncRNA from 1 species